UGACGAUUGUUCCUCCUGCUGCUCUGAGCUUGGGCUGGUCAGGAUUUUAGAUCGUCAUAGAGAAAUCUGAGUCUACUUCACCCAUUGUGUGUCUGGCUGCUUGGCUCUUCCUGGCCACAGUGGACAUUGCAAGACUCUACAGCU